AUCACUUAGCGGGCUUUCAAAUUUGAAGUCUUUGGAUGUAAGCUACAAUCAGUUAAAUGGAUCAAUAGAUAUGAGAGACUUAGGUGCUUUUACCAACUUAGAGGAACUGGAUAUGAGUUAUAAUGAUUUGAAUGAAUUUGUGAGCAGUAAAGAAUAUAAGAGAUUGAAAAAGUUAAAAGUUCUUCG